GGAAGAAAGAACUAACCAGGAUUCCCUUAGUAACGGCGAGUGAACAGGGAAAAGCCCAGCACCGAAGCCUGUGGUCGUUUGGCCCCUAGGCAAUGUGGUGUUCAGGUUAGCUCGCGAAGAUGCUGCUCCACCCUAAGUCCUAUAAUGAGUAAGGUUACUCGGACAUGGCCCAAUGAGGGUGAAAGGCCCGUGGGGGUGGAGAUUCAGAAUGGCCAGUAUCUUCCUGAGCGGACCUUGGAGUCGGGUUGUUUUUGAAUGCAG
rnacentral:rRNA from 1 species